CCUCCUCUUCUUGGCGGGGGUUGAGCUGGCAGUCCCGGUCCCCGUAAUGUGCAGAGGCAGAGGGAACGGGCUCCGGCCCCUCCGAGUCACGUCUUCAGUGCCGACGGUUUCCAGUCCCCGGGUUCUAUCCUCAAGUGCCGGACACUG